rnacentral:misc_RNA from 1 species
CCAGUAUCCAUAAAAAAUGCCAAGCAAAGGAGAAAUAUUUACUUAGGGGUUCAACUAAGAUGUGCAAUGUCAACCCCAUCGGGGAUCCUAAAUGUGUCGGCUGCGCCAAAUUUCUUCCGCCCUUCGCCAUGUUCAGAUUCAUCUUCAUCACUAUCAUCAUCUCCAUCGUCAUGAUUGCUUGUUGUCAAGGGAUCAUUAAUACUUUUAGACCUGCAAUCAUGGGUCGCAAGCAUAUUUACUUGGCCAAGGUGAGAGAUUUCAACAACUACCGUAUCAUCUUCUUCAGGUAGGGGUUGCUUCCAGGGUUCCCCAUCAAUCCUCAUAAAUGUAUGGUUGGCAGCACCUUUGUGGAACUCAAAACGGAUUCUGUGUGCUUGUGCAAGACGAGUCCCAUGUCCAUUUGGAGCAAGCAAAACAAGCCCAUGCCAAGCAUCUCUAAAACCAACAACUUCAAGAAGCCCAUCAUCUACAUAUGGUGGAGUCAAGUCUCUAUCGCGUUGUUUCUUGCUAUUUGGUGUUCCCCAAGGGCUCAGUCCACCGGAAAAACUGGGCAAGUUAAGGCAUACAAUUGACCUAAUGCUGUGGGGUAUAUGGAGAUCUUGCCAUUGACCAUGUCUUUUCAUGACUUUAACCUUAGCAAGCUGAGCUAUGUUCUUUGACGUAGGAUGAAAAAGAGAAGCAAAAAACCACCCUUGUGUACAUCCAAGCUUUGCAUAAGUACUCUGAUUAACUAACUGAUUUUUAAAUUUCUCGGGAUGCAGCUUUCGCUCAGAAUGAAAUGCAUAUGAUACUUGAGCAUCCAUGCCCAUGCUGAAGUAGUUCCAGAAUCCCCCACGAAAUGUGUGGUAACCUUCCACGUUGAGUUCAUCAGUUGGAGAAACACGCUGAAAUGCAUGCAGGGAAUGUGGUAGCUCAAGAGGUGCAAUGGGAUCACAGGGACCUCCUCUUGGAGCCCUCAUCCUCAUAAGAAUAUGCCAGUUGUCUAUUUUCAUUUCCUUUGCUUUCUUUACUUGGUUCAGGAAAGACAUCACAGAAUUGGGAUCUGUUCCAGGAUUCCUUUUUCCCCAACCAAAAGCAAACGGAAGAUUGUUUCCAGUUCCGAGAGGCACUGUAGCGAUUGGGGGUGGAUGCGAUAACUUGAGAUCGCAAACAACUCCAAGAAGCCAGCCAGCAGUUCCAUCACCACCUGCAACAAUUAUUCUCAACCUCUGUUGAAUCUCAUCGGCCAAUUUACUACGAGGCUUGAGCAUUUCCAGAUUGAGAUAAAUUCUUCGCAACACUUUAUCAGGAGCCUCUUCUCCCAAAUCAAAAACCUGUUUCUCAUUUAGAAGGGAACGAUAGGUGAGAAGGAGAUCACCGNNNNNNNNNACCACUCUUGGAGUUGAUAAAGACUAAAACGGGAUACUGUGGAGGAGGAGAUGGAGAUCCAUCAUCAGAAACCUCCAAUUCAGGCUGGAAGAUGAAAGAAGGGAUGCGAAAUUCAUUCAAAGUGGAUUCAGAAACAGAAUCCGUCGCCACUGCAUCCAUCUGCACGAUCAAUGAAGAAGAUUUUACCUUGAAAAUGAAAAAGGAAGAGAAGCAGACGAGACAGGGAAGGGGCACA